rnacentral:lncRNA from 1 species
AUGAGCAGCCUGCACCUCUACAGCACAUCGGUCACUGGCUCCCACAAAAUCAAGUCCCAGCAGAGUGAGGUGACCUGAAUCCUGGAUAGGAAGCGCAUCUAAUACCAACUAGUGGACAUCUCCCAGGACAACGCCCUGAGGGAUGAGAUGCGAGUCUUGGUGGGCAACUCCAAGGCUGCCCCACCCCGGAUUGUCAAUGGGGACCACUACCGUGGAGGCUUUGAGCUCUUCAUGGAGGCUGUGGAACAAAACAUGCUGCAGGAGUUCCUGAAACCGGCC